CUUCGUGUGUUUUUGGUGGUUU
rnacentral:miRNA from 1 species